GUGCUCACUUCAGCAGCAUAUAUACUACAAUGGCAAUAAUACAGACAAGAUUAGUAUGGCCCCUGCACAUGGACGGCACACACAUUCUUGAAGCAUUCCAUACUUAA